rnacentral:rRNA from 1 species
UACACUCCUGCGGGAGGCAGCAGUGGGGAAUUUUGGACAAUGGGCGAAAGCCUGAUCCAGCAAUGCCGCGUGAGUGAAGAAGGCCUUCGGGUUGUAAAGCUCUUUUGUCAGGGAAGAAACGGUGAAAGCUAAUAUCUUUUGCUAAUGACGGUACCUGAAGAAUAAGCACCGGCUAACUACGUGCCAGCAGCCGCGGUAAUACGUAGGGUGCAAGCGUUAAUCGGAAUUACUGGGCGUAAAGCGUGCGCAGGCGGUUUUGUAAGUCUGAUGUGAAAUCCCCGGGCUCAACCUGGGAAUUGCAUUGGAGACUGCAAGGCUAGAAUCUGGCAGAGGGGGGUAGAAUUCCACGUGUAGCAGUGAAAUGCGUAGAUAUGUGGAGGAACACCGAUGGCGAAGGCAGCCCCCUGGGUCAAGAUUGACGCUCAUGCACGAAAGCGUGGGGAGCAAACAGGAUUAGAAACCCCUGUAGUCCCAUGAU